UACAGAGGUCUCAAGCGUUGUUCGGAUUCAUUGGGCGUAAAGGGUGCGUAGGCGGCGCGGUAAGUCGGGUGUGAAAUCUCGGAGCUUAACUCCGAAACUGCAUUCGAUACUGCCGUGCUUGAGGACUGGAGAGGAGACUGGAAUUUACGGUGUAGCGGUGAAAUGCGUAGAUAUCGUAAGGAAGACCAGUGGCGAAGGCGGUUCUCUGGACAGUUCCUGACGCUGAGGCACGAAGGCCAGGGGAGCAAACGGG
rnacentral:rRNA from 1 species